UUAAAUUGAAGAGUUUGAUCAUGGCUCAGAUUGAACGCUGGCGGCAGGCCUAACACAUGCAAGUCGAACGGUAACAGGAAGCAGCUUGCUGCUUUGCUGACGAGUGGCGGACGGGUGAGUAAUGUCUGGGAAACUGCCUGAUGGAGGGGGAUAACUACUGGAAACGGUGGCUAAUACCGCAUAACGUCGCAAGACCAAAGAGGGGGACCUUCGGGCCUCUU
rnacentral:rRNA from 1 species